AUACUCAACGCUCAAAUAAUUGCAUGGUGACACCUUGUGAUCAUUUCUUUCACUCUGGUUGUUUGCAAAGAUGGAUGGACAUAAAGAUGGAGUGUCCAACAUGCCGACGUCCUCUUCCACCCGCUUGAAUAAAUGUUAUUUCUUGAAUUCAUCUUGGUAGAGCAACUGACAUUGCCCGACCUGUUUAGAAAGGUUGGAGACAG
rnacentral:misc_RNA from 1 species